rnacentral:rRNA from 1 species
CCUACGGGGGGCAGCAGUGGGGAAUAUUGGACAAUGGGGGCAACCCUGAUCCAGCCAUGCCGCGUGUGUGAAGAAGGCCCUCGGGUUGUAAAGCUCUUUCAGUGAGGAAGAACGCCUGGUGGUUAAUACCCAUCAGGAAAGACAUCACUCACAGAAGAAGCACCGGCUAACUCCGUGCCAGCAGCCGCGGUAAUACGGAGGGUGCGAGCGUUAAUCGGAAUUACUGGGCGUAAAGCGCGCGUAGGUGGCUUGAUAAGCCGGUUGUGAAAGCCCCGGGCUCAACCUGGGAACGGCAUCCGGAACUGUCAAGCUAGAGUGCAGGAGAGGAAGGUAGAAUUCCCGGUGUAGCGGUGAAAUGCGUAGAGAUCGGGAGGAAUACCAGUGGCGAAGGCGGCCUUCUGGACUGACACUGACACUGAGGUGCGAAAGCGUGGGUAGCAAACAGGAUUAGAUACCCCAGUAGUC